AGUGGGAUAGCUAGGUCAAAUGGUGAUUCCAUUCCAAGGAAUCUGCAUACUGCUUUCCAGAUAGGUUGCACCAAUUGCAGUCCCACUAGCAAU
rnacentral:pre_miRNA from 1 species